rnacentral:rRNA from 1 species
UACGGGGGGGGCAAGCGUUGUUCGGAAUUACUGGGCGUAAAGCGCACGUAGGCGGAUUGGAAAGUUGGGGGUGAAAUCCCGGGGCUCAACCCCGGAACUGCCUUCAAAACUCCCAGUCUGGAGGUCGAGAGAGGUGAGUGGAAUUCCGAGUGUAGAGGUGAAAUUCGUAGAUAUUCGGAGGAACACCAGUGGCGAAGGCGGCUCACUGGCUCGAUACUGACGCUGAGGUGCGAAAGCGUGGGGAGCAAACAGG